AAAAAUGUAAUUUUUUAUAUCAAGUAAUUAAUAGUUAUAUUCUUUAAAGCUUAAUAUUUUGGCGGUAUUUUAAUCUUUUCAGAGGAACUUGUUCUUUAAAUGAUAAUCCACGAUUGGGUUUACUUUAUUUAGAAAUUUUUAUAUCGUCGUUAAAAAAUAUUUUAUAAGAAGUUUAAAUAUUUAAAAUUUUUUUUUAGAAAAUAAAUCAGAUCAAGGKGAAGUUUAUAAUAAAGUAGAAAUGAGUUACAUUAUAAAAAUAUUAUGGAUAAUUUAAAUAAUUUUUUUUUUGAAAUUGGAUUUGAAAGUAAUUAAUUAUACAUUUUUUUAAUGAUUUAGCUCUAAAAUAUGC
rnacentral:rRNA from 1 species